rnacentral:snoRNA from 2 species
GGCCUCUCAGGGUCGCACCUGGAGAGUUUCCAAUACUUUACCAGUCUCGACUAAGGGAGAGAGAGUCAAGCAGAGGCAUAUCCAUUCCAUUUCUAGCUGAGGCAGUGGCUAGCAAGUGGAAGACAAUCUGCUACAAGU